CAGAAUUGUUCUCUAUCAAUUUUCUAAUUGACAAACACAAAUCACCUGGCCGUUCACAUGCAUGCACGUGCUAACUUAAUCAUGCACUUUCCGAAAAGUGAUCGUCUGCUGAAAACUGAUGUUUGUAAGGCUUAAUUAUGACUAAUAUCUUUGUUUAUAUUUGGAAAAGGGCUCUAUAGGCUGGUUAACAUGACUCACUACCGACUUAGAUAUAAAAUGAAGAGAAUUUUACAAUUAUCCUCAUGACUGCAUUGUUUUACUUGCUGUACUGAUAGGCCUAUCAACCAAAUCAGUCCUUUUUCUGUUAAAAUACUUCUAAAUGGCCAAUAAAACAAAUGAAAGUAAGUAUUUCACUUACCAGAAAAUGAUUGAAGCCUUUUCUUAUUGACUGAAAGGUUAUUUCUGCCCAGAAAUUAGUUGAUUUCAUUUAGAAGAGCUAUAUUUAUAUACAGUUAUUAGCUCACCUAGUAAUUUUUACCUCUUAAAAUACCUUUAAAUGGCCAAUACAACACAUAAAAUGCAGUAGCCUAUUUCACAAAGCAGAAAGUGGUUGAAGAGACUUGGCAAUAUAGCUCCAGCAGACAGAUGUCAGUUUUUGGUGGAUGAUCAGUUUUCGGCAUGACAGUGAAUGCCAGUACAUAAAGGCAAUGUCUAGGGUUGAUACCAGCAGGUAAAUUGUCACAUAUCACUCCAAUAAUAGUAAGCGUCCUGUGCAUGUAAAGUGCUAAACUUUGACCAGAAGCAGUGUCCUGUUAUACUCCAGUGUCUAAUGUUAAGAUAACAUAAAUAAUUUUAAGUGUAAGAUUUAUGGGGCUAUUGGUCUAAAACUGCACUGUUUUUUUAUUGUAGGAUUUCCAAUGGCCACACGAAGAAGAAAACCACCAACACAGGAUGCCAUAGAACAUGCUGUGAAGGCCCUUGACAAGACAACAGAGUUAGAAGUGCGAUACAUUAACUCUUUUAAAGGUCGAGGGGUGUUUGCCAAGUCCCAUUUCAGAAAAGGAGACUUUGUGGUGGAAUACAGAGGAGAAUUGAUCAAUUCUGAAGAAUCUCAGAGGAGGAGGAGAACAUAUCACAAUAGAUGUGGUGUUUUCAUGUUUGACUUCUACUGGAAAGAAAAAACAUGGUGUAUUGAUGCAGCUAGAGAGGAUUCCAGUUUUGGGCGUCUGGUUAAUGAUUGCCACAAGAAUCCGAACUGCAAAAUGAAGAGGGUCAUAACAGAGGGAAAACCACACCUCUGCCUAUUUGCUUUAAAGGACAUUACUGAAGGAGAAGAGAUAACUUAUGACUAUGGUGGAAUUGAUUGGCCUUGGAGGAAACAGGACAAACCAUUGGAUGCCACUGAGUCUUCUGAGGCUGACCUCUUCAGAACAACAGAGCAGACUCCUCUGAGAUCAUCCAGCUUCAAGACACAGGACAAACCAUUGGAUGCCACUGAGUCUUCUGAGGCUGACCUCUUCAGAACAACAGAGCAGACUCCUCCGAGAUCAUCCAGCUUCAAGACACAGGACAAACCAUUGGAUGCCACUGAGUCUUCUGAGGCUGACCUCUUCAGAGCAACAGAGCAGACUCCUCCGAGAUCAUCCAGCUUCAAGACACAGGACAAACCAUUGGAUGCCACUGAGUCUUCUGAGGCUGACCUCUUCAGAACAACAGAGCAGACUCCUCCGAGAUCAUCCAGCUUCAAGACACAGGACAAACCAUUGGAUGCCACUGAGUCUUCUGAGGCUGACCUCUUCAGAGCAACAGAGCAGACUCCUCCGAGAUCAUCCAGCUUCAAGACACCGGUACUAGUCGGUCUCUUUUACUGUCUUUCACUGGUUCCUCCUUUAGGUUCGAACCUUCUACUUUUUAGUUUCGAGGCGUCUUCUUAAUUGUUAACUUCUUCAUGGAAGUACAUUUUUAGAUGUGUAUACAUCAAUGUAUAUCCUUAGUCCAAUAUAAACUUCUGAGCACAUUCUGGUUUUUGUGGUUUCAUGGGGACCAGUCAGUAGGACCAGUGUUUAGUGGCGAUCACUCCUUGUGAUACACACACUUGUCAGGUCUCUUGUCAUUGUGGGGUCCACGCUAACUAAAAAUUAAUGUAGACAUUGGAACACUUCAUUGACUCUUUUCUGUCUAGAAGUCUAAACGUAUACAUUCUACAUCAUGUGUCAUUGAACUUUAGAUGAGUUUGCUUUCUCCAAGUCAUACUAGCUCUUGGCUACAGCUGAAUUCAGUCAUGCCACACUUCAUUUUUACUACUUCCUCGACUGUGACGGUUAGAGCUGUCUUAUAGCAGGCAACAUAGAUAUGACAGAAAUCACAGCCAACUUAAACCCAUCAAAAGUAACUUGGAUUUAGCCUCAGAUACAGGAAACAUGUAAACAUUGCCACCACAUGCAUGUCUCCUGUGUCUCACAUGUGUUAAUGUUGUUUCCACUGAAUUAAUGCUACUGCUGACCAUCUAUUCAAUAAUAAUGUUAACUCAUUCUUCAGGACAAACCAUUGGAUGCCACUGAGUCUUCUGAGGCUGACCUCUUCAGAGCAACAGAGCAGACUCCUCCGAGAUCAUCCAGCUUCAAGACACAGGACAAACCAUUGGAUGCCACUGAGUCUUCUGAGGCUGACCUCUUCAGAACAACAGAGCAGACUCCUCCGAGAUCAUCCAGCUUCAAGACACAGG